rnacentral:rRNA from 1 species
UACGGAGGGUGCGAGCGUUGUUCGGAAUCACUGGGCGUAAAGGGCGUGCAGGCGGUCAGGUAAGUGGGAUGUGAAAUGCCCCGGCUCACCCGGGGACCGGCAUCUCAUACUGCUUGGCUUGAGUACGGGAGAGGAUGUGGGAAUUCCUGGUGUAGCGGUGAAAUGCGUAGAUAUCAGGAGGAACACCGGUGGCGAAGGCGCACAUCUGGCCCGAUACUGACGCUGAGGCGCGAAAGCUAGGGGAGCAAACGGG